CAGCUCUGAUAUCAUUAAUAUUGCCUACAGUAAUACUUCACUGUAAUCAAAGACCACUCCUGUACUGGCUGUGAUGUGGCUGCUUUGGAAGACCUCAAGAAUGACAUGAGGCUAGAGUAUUAUACCAAAUUAUUUAUAGAAAGCUCCAGGGAGAAGAUGUUAAUAGUUCCCAGGCUCAUCUGUUCCAGGAUGCAACACCUCUUUCUGGUCUAGACUGAAGAUCUUAACUAGAACUUAAACUAAACUGAAUUCACCAAUAUCCUUAAAUGAGGUUCUAACUAUUUUGUUAUGUUCAUUGCUGUGUGUUGUAUUCUGUGGUUAGAAUUGCAAAAUAUAAUAAAACCUGAAAACAGUUGUCA
rnacentral:lncRNA from 1 species